rnacentral:rRNA from 1 species
UGGGGAAUAUUGGACAAUGGGCGCAAGCCUGAUCCAGCAAUGCCGCGUGAGUGAUGAAGGCCUUAGGGUUGUAAAGCUCUUCGCACGCGACGAUGAUGACGGUAGCGUGAGAAGAAGCCCCGGCUAACUUCGUGCCAGCAGCCGCGGUAAUACGAAGGGGGCUAGCGUUGUUCGGAAUUACUGGGCGUAAAGGGCGCGUAGGCGGCCUGUUUAGUCAGAAGUGAAAGCCCCGGGCUCAACCUGGGAAUAGCUUUUGAUACUGGCAGGCUUGAGUUCCGGAGAGGAUGGUGGAAUUCCCAGUGUAGAGGUGAAAUUCGUAGAUAUUGGGAAGAACACCGGUGGCGAAGGCGGCCAUCUGGACGGACACUGACGCUGAGGCGCGAAAGCGUGGGGAGCAAACAGGAUUAGAUACCCUGGUAGUCCACGCCGUAAACGAUGAAGUGCUAGACNUCGGGGUGCAUGCACUUCGGUGUC